AAUUGGUUAAAAUUAUUAUAUUUAUUAUAUUAAAAGAAUUUUUUGUUUUAAUAUUGGUAGAAUAAUUUUUUAUUAUUAAAGUUAACUAGUAAUGUAGAUGAAAUUUGAUUAUUUAAUAAUUCUAAAAGAAAAUUUAAUUUAUUGUACCUUUUGUAUCAGGGUUUUUUAAAUUAUAAGUUUUUAUUUAAUUGUUCUCGAAUUAAGAAGAGUUAAUUUAUUAUUAUAAAUUUAUGUUGCAUUAUAAUAUUUAAUAAUUUAUUUGAAGUGAAAUGUUAAUCGAUUCUUAAUAUAUCUAGUUUCUUUAGAAAUAAAUUUAAUUUAUUAAUUAAUUUGAUUUUUUUAUUUAAAAGAUUAUUAGUUAAUUAAAUAAAUAUAUAGGGAUAAGCUUGUAUAUUUAUGUCCUAAAAAUUAAAUAUUUAAAAUUAUUAGUAUAAUUAAUAUUAUUAAUCUUUGGUAUAAUUUAAUAGUUUUUAAUUUAUUUUUUAUAUUUUUUAUGGUUUUUAGGUUAUUUAUUUAGAUGAAAAUUAUAUUAAAUUUAAUUUUGUAAUUAUGAUUUAAUUAGUAUAUAUUUAUUUUAUUAGUUUAUUAAAUUAUAGAUUAGGAAAAGGAAUUCGGCAAUUUUAGUUUCUGCCUGUUUAUUAAAAACAUGUCUUUUUGAUUAUAAUUUUAAGUUUGAUCUGCUCAAUGAGGAUUUAAAUUGCCGCAGUAUUUUGACUGUGCAAAGGUAGCAUAAUAAUUAGUUUCUUAAUUAGAAGCUUGAAUGAAGGAUUUGACAAGAAAUUAGCUGUCUCUUUUUAAUUUUUAUAAAAUUUUAUUUUUAAGUAAAAAAGCUUAAAUUUUUUUAAAAGACGAGAAGACCCUAUAGAGUUUAAUAUUAUAUUUAUUUAUUUAUUUUUGAAAAUAAUAAUUAUUUAAAUAUUUAGUUGGGGUGAUUUGAAGAUAAAAUUAAUUCUUUGAAAUAUUUUAUUGAAGAUUAUUAAUUUAGUAGUCUUAUUUUUUAAAGAUUAAAAUAAAUUACCUUAGGGAUAACAGCGUUAUUUUUUUUUAAAGUUCUUAUUAAAAAAAAAGUUUGCGACCUCGAUGUUGGAUUAAAAUUAAUUUUUGGUGAAGUAGCUUAAGGAUUAGGUCUGUUCGACCUUUAAAAUUUUACAUGAUCUGAGUUUAAACCGGUGUAAGCCAGGUUGGAUUCUAUCUUUAAUUAUUUAUAAUGUUUUAGUACGAAAGGACCAAAUAUUAGUUAAAAA
rnacentral:rRNA from 1 species